rnacentral:rRNA from 1 species
AACGAACGCUGGCGGCAUGCCUAACACAUGCCAGUCGAACGAGACCUUCGGGUCUAGUGGCGCACGGGUGCGUAACGCGUGGGAACCUGCCCUUAGGUUCGGAAUAACUCCUCGAAAGGGGUGCUAAUACCGGAUAAUGUCUUCGGACCAAAGAUUUAUCGCCUUUGGAUGGGCCCGCGUUGGAUUAGCUAGUUGGUAGGGUAAAAGCCUACCAAGGCGACGAUCCAUAGCUGGUCUGAGAGGAUGAUCAGCCACACUGGGACUGAGACACGGCCCAGACUCCUACGGGAGGCAGCAGUGGGGAAUAUUGGACAAUGGGCGAAAGCCUGAUCCAGCAAUGCCGCGUGAGUGAUGAAGGCCUUAGGGUUGUAAAGCUCUUUUACCCGGGAUGAUAAUGACAGUACCGGGAGAAUAAGCUCCGGCUAACUCCGUG